UGAUCCUUAAUCGUAAAGAUAUUGGUUGAAGAAAAUGAGGCUAGACUAGAUUUGAACUCAGCUAUCCCUGAUUCCAGAUCCAUUGCUUUAUCUACUGUGCCAUCCAGCUGUCUAGUAGGGACUUGACAGUCAUCAUCAAAAAGUAUUAAUGUACCAUCCCUCUGACAUAGAUACUACCAUCCCAGUGUCAGGACUGCAAGAUCUUGGAGCUCCCUCUCCCAUAGUUCAGAGAGGCAAGAUAAUUCUGCAUUGAUUUAAGGAUGCCAUGGUUCCUCAGAAUUAGAAAUACUUUUUGUGGCUGUUGCAUGGCGAGAGACCAGAGGAUCAGUAGCAGGGCUCCGUGAACUUGGAUGAAGGGCUAAAAAACGACUUCCAUCUUUCUUUAACUCAUUUUUGGUUUCCUUUGUAAUUUUCUGUAUUUUUUUAUUAAUACAUCUGAAAUCAUUAGUCAGAAAGGCUUCUAUAGACUUCAGCUAAUUGUGAAGGACCCAAGGAAAGAUAAUCAUCCAUAGGAAGAUCAAAGAAUCACAAAAGCUUGGAAAACUGGAAAGAGACUUUGGUUCAGUUCCUUCCUUUAACAGAAUAUCAGUUAAGCCCAGAAUGUACUAAAUGACUUGCCUCGUUUGUGACACAGUCAGGAUAAAAACUCAAGUUUUCUGACUCUAACCAGUGCUUUGUUUUGUUUUUUGGGGGGUGGCAGUGUUCCCACCUUUCCACCCCCAUUUCUCAAUUCCACCUAGACCUCUCUACCUCCAUUGCCUUUUACAUUAAUUGGAGAGAGCCACAAACUUCAAAGCAACUGAUUUUCCUUUCAGUUUAACUCGCUCUGCAGUUGAAAAGCAAGUGUUCAUUCUCAUGGCCAAAUUGGGAAGCCUAGAGUGGGUGGGAGAAAGAGAACAAGGUGAUGUCAUUUACAGCUACCCAGAAUCCAAUUGAGUUUGUUAGAAAGUUGGAAAAGUAAUGAGAUAAAACUUAUCUCACAGACAAGCUCACCAUAACAGGCUUCUCAUCUCUGAUUCCUUUGAUAUGAAACCUAUUUAAUGCUGUAACUAUUUUGAUUGGUUUCUAAAUGCUUACCAUGAGCAGACAGACCACCUAAACCCAUUUAAAUCAGCUGCCUAUUCAUGAACAAUCCGACUUUAGGCCCUAUGGUAUGAUGAUCCAUUUGUAAAUUUUUUAGUCCUUCCAAAAUAUGGAUGAAUAAAUGAGCAUGUAUUAAGUACUGACUACUUGCCAGGCACUGUGUUAAGUGCUAGGGCCAUGAAUCAAAAAAAUGACUCCUGUUUAUUUCCUGUUGAUGCCCACACCAGCUUUAAGAGGAGCUAGAGGACUGAAAUAAGGAUUGGAGAGAAGGCAAAACCUUAGCUCAUUGUACCUCUGCUUCUAUCUACACCUGAACUUAAGGUCACCAAGACACUUCAGACUUUGACGAGAUCUGGAGGCUCAUUAAUCCAAACCUUUCCUUGUAGAGAUAAGGAAAACUCACAUCUAUGAAAAGUGAAGUGACUUUCCCAACAUCACACAGCUAGAACCAGAAACCAGAACCAAUAGGAGGAGCAUCUGCCUAUUUAUUCUAAAAACCAAAGGAAAGAUCUCUACCUUGAUGCAGAAAGCACAGAACUAGCUCCAGUCAGAGGCCUCAGCUUCAGUCCUACCUUUGGGAUAACUAACUGUGUUGUCUCUUAACCUCCUUGGGCCCCAGUUUCCUUAUCAGUAGUUUGAAGGGAUUGGACUUACAUGACUUCUAAAGAGCAACUUCCAACUUAAGGUCUAUGAUCCAUAGACCUAAAUCUUUUUGGAGCUCCCUCUGAAAUGAUUUCAUACUGAAAUUAGAAGCUGACUUUGUCUCCUCCUCUCUGUGACAUUUUGUCUUGAAAUUAAUAUGACACUGUGGAAUAGCAACCUCCAUGCUAUCUUCCAACAUAGAACAGCAGCAAGAGCCUCCUGCUCUUCUUUUCAACUUUAAGAAUGUCUUUUUUUUUUUUCUUUCCCAUAUGAUCACCCAAUUGGCACAUUAAAAGCUUUCAUCUUAAUGUUUACAUGGUGCUUGACUUACCUACCCCACAACCAAGCUCAGCAGAAAGCCUUGCUUAUCAGAGGUACCCUAAGAUAUCUUCAAGAGGACUCAUUUUUAUUGCUAACAGCCAAACAUAGGGUCCAAAUUCAAGAUUACAUCAAAAAUCUAGUGAUUUCCACCACUGACCUCCCAUGAGGCCUUCAGCCAGUGAACAUCAGGGAACAGGCUGAUCCAACUGCUCUCUGGACAUUUUAUUUUCAAUCUUAACUCAAGGCUUAAAAUACAACACAGUUGAUAAUAAAACCAAAUUUUUGAGUUUAAAAAAAUGAAAAAAAAAAUGAGAUAGGAAGCACGUGUGAAUUUAAAAAAAAAAACUUUUAUUAGGUUAAAAAAUAUUUAUGAAAUAAUGUAUUUUAAUCUUUACCCCAAUGUCCAAACACUAUAUUUGGUUCUAUUCUGGACUUGACUUUAUACAUAAUCUAAAAAACAAUUCAUUCUUUGAAUCUCCUAAGCCUGCAGCUGGUAUCAUAGCAUUUUAAACCCUAAAGACUAUCUUUAAAGCUUGAAGACUAUCUUAAUUCAGUCCCUAAGGAAAGUGAAGGACUGAACUAAGGUCUUACAGCUAGUCAUUGACUAGGCAUGGACUAGAGUCCAAAUAUCUCAAUUCCUAGUUGAGUAGGAGUUCUCACAACCACAUGCUGCUUUCCAGACAUCUGUAAACUGAACAUCACUUCUGUAUUAUGUCUGGGAGUUUACAGGAUACCAGGCUGAAUCCCUCAAGUUCUUUAGACUAUUAAAAAACAAACAAACAAAAAGCAACUUUAACCCACUUGAAAACUGAGAGAGUACUUCACACCCAUGCAAUGGUAGAACGUGACUAUUGUGGUCUGGAUGGUACUGUUGUCAUUAAAAAAAGAAAUUCUCUUACUUGCUGUUUAGGGGGAGGGGGUGGAGAGGAGGGAGGGAGAAAAUUUGGAACAAAAGGUUUUGUAAGGGUGAAUGUUGAAAACUAUCUUGUAUGUAUUCUGAAAAUAAAAAAGAAAGUAAAAUAUUAAAAAAAAAAAAAAAAAAAAAGGAAUCCUCAAGUUGUGAUGGAGAGCCAUCUCCAUUCAGAAGGAAAAUUGUCAGGACUGAAUAUGGAUUACAACAUAUAUUUGCACCUUUUUUGUUGUUGUUUGCUUGCUUUUUUCUUUCUCUCUUUUUUUUUUGAUCUGAUUUUUCUCGUGCGGCAUGAUAUAUGUGGA
ensembl:lncRNA